rnacentral:tRNA from 1 species
GCCUGGGUGGUGAAAUGGUUGGCACACAAGACUCAAAAUCUCGUGCUAUAAAAUUUGGAGGUUCGAGUCCUCUUCAAGGCA